rnacentral:snoRNA from 1 species
UUGCUAUGAUGCUUCAAAUGUCUGACCUGAAUUCAAUGUGGACACUGUUAUACUGACAUG